rnacentral:lncRNA from 1 species
GAGCGGCAUCAGGAACAUUAGAUUGGGAGGAAGUUGACUCGUUUGCACCCCUGGAGCCCUCUGAGAUAUGAGACCUUCAGAGGCAUCAAAGUGGCAAGGAAGUGAAAAUCAUGGGGAAAUAGAGAACACCUCCUCCUCCAAGUCCGAUGCAGGAAGAGGGUCAUGUUAAAUGGCCUCAGAAAAUAUCUACACAUCCUUUUCACCUUUCUUCAGAAGGCUGAGGAAAAAGUUAAGAGAAGGCCAUUGAGAAGGAAAGACAAGAUAUGGCUUGGAUUUUAGCAUCAUGCUUACAUUGUAGCUUUUCUUUUUUUGGCAACUGCAUGGGUAUGGAUGUAUUUUUAACCUCACAGAGCCUCAGUUUUCUUGUCAGUAAAAUGGGGAACGUGAAAUGCAAAGUAGUAAGAAUUAAAUAAUUUAUACUAGUACUGUGCCUAAAAAAUCAGAGGCAUUGCAACUAAAGGUUUCUCCAUUUUUCUUUUUAUUAACACUUUUCUUUCAUAAAUGCGCCAUCAAGGGGAAGCAUGAUGGUGGAAAGGCAAUUCUCCCAGAUGCUAUGGAAGAUACAUGAGACAAA